UACGGGGGGGGCAAGCGUUGUUCGGAAUUACUGGGCGUAAAGGGCGCGUAGGCGGCCUUCUAAGUCGGACGUGAAAUCCCUCGGCUUAACCGGGGAACUGCGUCCGAUACUGGUUGGCUUGAGUUUGGGAGAGGGAUGCGGAAUUCCAGGUGUAGCGGUGAAAUGCGUAGAUAUCUGGAGGAACACCGGUGGCGAAGGCGGCAUCCUGGACCAAUACUGACGCUGAGGAGCGAAAGCCAGGGGAGCAAACGGG
rnacentral:rRNA from 1 species